rnacentral:lncRNA from 1 species
UUCAGAGAAUGCAUCAGAUAUUCAGAUUGGAUAGCACGGUCCUGAAACAGAAUAGCACACAAACAAGCAGAUUUCAGUACAGAAGCAGGAUAAAAUUGGGGUGGCCCAGGCGCCCAGCGGAGGCCAUUCGAAGCCGGCGCCGAUGAAGUCGCUGGAGAGCAGCGACCUUUUCGUUGUCCAUUGCACCUCCGGCCCGAAGGCUCCUUCCUCUCCUCCCCGCCGGCCUCUCCUCUAAUGCCUCAAUGGCGACCAAGCGCCCCAGAUUCCGGCGGGAUUGGGACUGCGGAGCCAUCUCGCUGGGCCGGGGGCGCCGAUGGCGGGUCUGGCGGCAAGGGUUCGGAGGUGGCGAUUGGGGACGAUUUGGGCAUGAAAUUGGGGGCUUUUUGCUUCAGUUUUAUGUGCGUGGAGUCGAUUUGAGCGAAGGCGAUAAGCGCGUGAGGAAGGUGUGGUGGAGCACGGGAUCGCGAGGAGGAAGAAGCGCCUGUUCGUCGCUCGCAGCGGGUAAAAGCGAGCGUUAUCUUCUCGUAUCUUACGCUUCAGCCGGGCGACUCCUCAGGCUGUUUGGAUACACCUCCUACUUUACACCCGUCACAUCGGGUGCUUGAUACUAAUUAAGAGUAUUAAAUAUAGACUAUUUACAAAAUUCAUUGUAUAGGGACAAAUCUAUUAAAUCUAAUUAGUUCAUGAUUUGACAAUGUGCUGCUACAAUAAAUAUGUGCUAAUCAUGGAUUAAUUAGGUUCAAUAGAUUCAUCUCACGAAUUAGUACGAGGUUCUGCAAUUAGUUUUAUAAUUAGCUUAUGUUUAGUUCUUCUAAUUAAUAUACAAAUAUUCGAUGUGACACUCUUAAAAUUUAGCACCUCGUACCAAACAACCCCUCAACAUACGCCCGCUUCCUUCUCUUUCCUCUCUUCUCACUCCUCCAGCUAGGAUUUUUCUGACGUGUACAACCCCUCAGCCUGCCGACUCGGAGCUAUUAUACUUGCUCUAACGUUCUCC